rnacentral:rRNA from 1 species
CCCUUAGAUGUUCUGGGCCGCACGCGCGCUACACUGAUUCAUGCAACAAGUUUUGUCCUUGGCUGAUAGGCCUGGGUAAUCUUUGAACGUGAAUCGUGAUGGGGAUAGAUGAUUGCAAUUAUUCAUCUUCAACGAGGAAUUCCUAGUAAACGCAAGUCAUCAGCUUGCGUUGAUUACGUCCCUGCCCUUUGUACACACCGCCCGUCGCACCUACCGAUUGAAUGGUCCGGUGAAAUCUUCGGAUCUGAGAGAUGUCUGAUUAAUUUCGGACGCCUUUUGGAAAAGUUGUUUAAACCUUACCAUUUAGAGGAAGGUGAAGUCGUAACA